CCUGACGUGGACGCUAGUCUCACAGAUUUAGCCAUGCAUGUGUAAGCGAAGCUUUUAGUGGAGCGGUGAAAGGCUCAGUAACGGGCGAUUUAUUUGUUCUCCUGUGACGGACAACAUCGGGAAACUGAUGGGAAAACGUCUAAGUUGCAGUUAAUUGAUUGUGACGUAAACGAUUUUGUGCAGGAGAGUAAGAUGCCAUCCUAUCAGUUAGUAAGUAGGGUAAGGGCCUACUUAGACGAAGACGGGUACGGGGAAUGAGGGUUUGAUUCCGGAGAGGGAGCCUGAGAGAUGGCUACCAGGACCAAGGUCAGCAGCAGGCGCGAAAAUUAUCGAAGCCCGCCUAGGGGCGAUAGUGAGGAGACGUGUAUAACGAAGUACGUGUAAAGAACGUGCUAAUAACUGGAGGUCAAGUCUGGUGCCAGCAUCCGCGGUAAUUCCAGCUCCAGGGGUGUCUAUGAUGAUUGCUGCGAUUAAAAAGUCCGUAGUCAAUCUGACUGACUGACCUGCAAUGUGAUUGAUUAAAGAACGAGCAGGGUUAGGAAAGCAGAGAAUUAGGAGCGACCGAGGGCUAGAGUAUUGAAUGGCGAGAGGUGAAAUUUGAUGACCCAUUCAGGAGUGACAAAGGCGAAGGCACUAGUCAAGGGCGAAUCCGAUGAUCAAGGACGUAGGCUAGAGUUUCGAAAACGAUUAGAGACCGGAGUAGUUCUAGCAGUAAACUAUGCCGACGCCGUGGUAUUAUUUUAGUAUUGCGGAAGAGAAAUCAAGUAAGGCUUUGGGGAGAGUACGCGCGCAAGCGAUAAAUUUAAAGGAAAUUGACGGAGGAACACCACAAGGUAGUGGAGUGUGCGGCUUAAUUUGACUCAACGCGGGACAGCUUACC
rnacentral:rRNA from 1 species